CCAGACUCCUACGGGAGGCAGCAGUGGGGAAUAUUGCACAAUGGGGGAAACCCUGAUGCAGCGACGCCGCGUGAGUGAAGAAGUAUCUCGGUACGUAAAGCUCUAUCAGCAGGGAAGAAAAUGACGGUACCUGAAGAAGAAGCCCCGGCUAACUACGUGCCAGCAGCCGCGGUAAUACGUAGGGGGCAAGCGUUAUCCGGAUUUACUGGGUGUAAAGGGGGCGCAGACGGCGAUGCAAGCCAGGAGUGAAAGCCCGGGGCCCAACCCCGGGACUGCUCUUGGAACUGCGUGGCUGGAGUGCAGGAGGGGCAGGCGGAAUUCCUGGUGUAGCGGUGAAAUGCGUAGAUAUUAGGAGGAACACCAGUGGCGAAGGCGGCCUACUGGACGGUGACUGACGCUGAGGCUCGAAAGCGUGGGGAGCAAACAGGAUUAGAUACCCCGGUA
rnacentral:rRNA from 1 species